CGUAUAGCGAGGGAGAGGGCAGCGCGAUGCACUUGCAUCACACAGAAAGGCAGAAGAUGCAAAAGAAAAACGACCCAUGCAACACGCAUCUGCCAUCAGCACAGGAGAAACCUGCCAGACGAUGAAAUCCAAGGGUUGAUCAGACCUCGGUGCAGGGCUUUAACUGCCAAGGCAAGGCAAUGCAAGAGAAAUGGAAGACGCUUCAACUUCGUCGCAGUGCAUGAGCUCUGCCUACAACAUUAUCGAAUGCAACAGGCUGCCAUAUGAUCCAGUGGUCACCGUCUGAUUCGUGAGCUUGUCUUUCCUCUCGCCAUCUCCAGUCUUUUUCUUCGCCACAACACCUUUAUCUACAGACAUCUUCGCCAUCUACACAGACAUCUUCGCCAUCUACAUAGACAUCUACAUAUCCAGUCAUCAUAGUCGCCAUCACCAACAUCACCAUCAACAUAGAACUACUUCAUCUCAGCAUUCAUCAUUAUUAUGUAAGCUUACGUUUCAUUCUAUUCGAUAAUGUUGUUUAUCCAUGGUGUUUCCCACAGAUAUUUUUUUUGUUCUUUUAGCAUGCAUUAUGACCUCUUGGCCGUAGCCUCCGGACCGUGCUCUAGCCUCCUCAUAUUCACUGUUAUGAUUUUUUUUUGUAUAACUUGGCAUGGGUCAAGUAUCUUUUUAGGGGCCAGUAUUCCAUAUACAUGCAUAUAUAUAUGCAUCUCUGAUAUAAACUGCAUGAUGCAUGUUUAUGUAUCUCUUUUUUUUAUUAGAGAGAGAACUUUUUCAUACUUAGCAAAGUGUACAUUUUGUAAAAAAAAAAAAAGAAGAUAUUUUCCAAUAUCCAAUAGUUCACUUUUUGCUUGUUAUACUUCCUUCAAUAAUCAUAAUAUACACUAACACAAUAUUUUUCUCGCAAUGUUAACUGUUCCCAUCAUUUGUUAAACAGUAUAUACAUGUAUGUAUAUAUCAUUAUUUCACAUGCUUUUUGUGAUGGCUGAAUGAGUAUUUAUUGAAAUGUUGUCUUUAAAAAAAAAAAAAAUAUGUGCAAGACCUCAUUUCAAUUAAACGUCAUUAUGGAAUACUGGCCCUAUCUGUGGGAAAUACCAUGGAUAACCUUUCGCUGAUUUAUUAUUUUUAUAUAUUGUGGGAUAUUAACAGAAAAUACAAAAAAAAAUCAAAAUAAAA
rnacentral:lncRNA from 1 species